GUCUUAGUCUAUUGCAAUAAUUUUAUUAAUGUUAUAUUCUAAAAAAAAAAGUCCAAAUAUGAUAUGAAAUAGUUAACAUGUAUUAAGUCCAUUAGGUAUGAGAUGGUAGAUGCAUUUGGCCCAUAGGGUACGAAAUUGAUAUUAUCGUUGGUACGAAAUUGAUAUUAUCGUGGGUACGAAGUUGAUAUUAUCAUGGCUACGAAAUUGAUAUUAUUGUGUGUUUGAAAUGGUAAAUGUUGGGUAUGAAAGGCAAAUUUGGGUACGAACUGGCAGAUGUACGAAACGGUCAAGGUACAAAAUGACUUGCUUCCGAAUAUUUUGCAACAAAAUUCUAUCUUUCCAUUGAGUUUUACUUUUUUUAAUAUUAUCAUAUUUUUAAUUAUAUACAUUUAUCAUAUAUUUAGUAGUAGAUACAGUAGUUUUGAAGAUUUGAUAAAUAGCCUGCUGUUUAAUCCAUAUCGCGCAACUUUGAUGCGCACCCUUUGUCAUACCCUUUAUCACACUCCUAUCCUUUAUCACACCCCUAAUUUUUUUUAUUAUAUUUUUUUACAUAAAGUCAGAUUUUAUUUCUGUAAGCUUAAGAAAUGAUUUUCCUCAAAAUAGGUCCAAAAUGAACGGUCAUUCGGGCGUGACGCAAUUUAUUGAACAACUUGUGACUUGUGGCAUGUGACGUCACGAACGUCAAGUUUUCAUAUUUUUUGGAACACUAAAUGCAACUAUAAAAAAUACAAAACACACAAAAAAAUACAAUGAACAAAGUAUUUUUAAAACUACAGCACGCAAAUUGUAAUGUAACCCAGGUGCUUCGGAUAAGUAAUUGAGCAGUUCUUUUAAAAGGUUUUUAAAACCAGACAAAAGUAGAACUGAAGGUUACCCAGUGCUAUGGAUCAGAAAACAAUUCAUAUAAUAUAAUACUCUCCUGUUGAAAUAUAUGAUAAAGCGUAUAAAACAUGGCAAAAUCCGUAUCACAUGCUGUAUCACUCUCG
rnacentral:lncRNA from 1 species